UGGGGAAUAUUGCACAAUGGGCGCAAGCCUGAUGCAGCGACGCCGCGUGGGGGAUGACGGCCUUCGGGUUGUAAACUCCUUUCGCUAGGGACGAAGCUUUUUGUGACGGUACCUAGAUAAGAAGCACCGUCUAACUACGUGCCAGCAGCCGCGGUAAUACGUAGGGUGCGAGCGUUGUCCGGAAUUGCUGGGCGUAAAGGGCUCGUAGGUGGUUUGUCGCGUCGUCUGUGAAAUUCCGGGGCUUAACUCCGGGCGUGCAGGCGAUACGUGCAUAACUUGAGUACUGUAGGGGUAACUGGAAUUCCUGGUGUAGCGGUGAAAUGCGCAGAUAUCAGGAGGAACACCGAUGGCGAAGGCAGGUUACUGGGCAGUUACUGACGCUGAGGAGCGAAAGCAUGGGUAGCGAACAGG
rnacentral:rRNA from 1 species